rfam:Chlorocebus sabaeus isolate 1994-021 chromosome 28, whole genome shotgun sequence.
GCCGGGCGCGGUGGCUCAAGCCUGUAAUCCCAGCACUUUGGGAGGCCGAGACGGGCGGAUCACGAGGUCAGGAGAUCAAGACCAUCCCGGCUAACACGGUGAAACCCCGUCUCUACUAAAAAAUACAAAAAUCUAGCCGGGCGAGGUGGCAGGCGCCUGUAGUCCCANNNNNNNNNNUGGGACUACAGGCGCCUGCCACCUCGCCCGGCUAGAUUUUUGUAUUUUUUAGUAGAGACGGGGUUUCACCGUGUUAGCCGGGAUGGUCUUAAUCUCCUGACCUCGUGAGCCGCCCGUCUCGG